rnacentral:lncRNA from 1 species
GGCCACCUUUGUGCAUUUUGAGUCUACCUCUCGCAUUUCUUGGUCAUCAGCAAACCUAUGUAUAUGCAACAUAUAAAAGGGUGAUUUAACACACCUAGUGUCAAAGUAUAAUCUAACAAGAUUCAUAACAAUUAUGGUAGAUCACAUUUUUAUGAAGCUAACAAAACUAAUUUGGUAUUUUUCCGGAUUUUCUAUGAUUUUUAGUUAAUUUUGCAAGAUCUUUGUUUUUAUAGAAAAGGAAAAAGUCCAUAUUACUCCCUCCAAGUUUGACCUAUGUCUAAAUAACCCCUUAAACUAACAUUUGGUUCAAUUUACUCCCUCAAUCUAUUUAAGUUGGUCCAACUAACAUCUUAAAAAGUUUUUUUCUUUUUUGUUUCUCUAUGCACAAAUUAUAUUUUAGUAUCAAAAUUUGUGAGGUGAUAGAGGACAUUGUAUUUUGUGUUAGAAAAAUGCACUGUGAUUUUUUCAUCAUUAUUGUUUAUAUGAUAUUCUGUCUCUAGUGUUAAUUUAUUGUUAAGGGGUAAAUUAGACCAACUAAAAUAGUUGGAGGUAGUAAAUUAAACCAAAUGUAAGCAUAGGAGGUAAUCUAGACAUAUGCCAAACUUGAGAGAAGUAAUUUGUACUUUUUCCUAUAGAAAAAGAUAAAAGGAAAAUCAAAGGAAACUGAAUAUUUUGUAUUAGGAACUCUGAUCUAUUUCAAAAACUAUUUGGACACUUUAACCUUAUUCUUUCUCUCUGUGUUGAUGCAAAAAGUAGAUUUGCAUACACAAAAAGCUAAUACCCGAUUCGAUAUCCAAGACAUGCCAGUCAAUUUGACCUAUUAAUCGACAAGAAUAAUAACUCGAGCAUUUUGGUCCUGACAACAGUGAUACACCCGGAUGAGAACUCGUAAAAAAAAUAUGCGAAUUGACGAAGUCGUCGAAAAGUAAGUGGAUGCAAAAAAUAGG